rnacentral:rRNA from 1 species
AUUGAACGCUGGCGGCAGGCCUAACACAUGCAAGUCGAGCGGACCGGCGGAUGGGUGAGUAAUGCUUAGGAAUCUGCCUGGUAGUGAGGGAUAACGUCCGGAAACGGGUGCUAAUACCGCAUACUAUAAGAUUAGCAUAGGUCGGAUUAGCUAGUUGGUGGGGGAAAGGCCUACCAAGGCGACGAUCCGUAACUGGUAUGAGGGGAUGAUCAGUCACACUGGAAAUGAGACUCAGUCCAAGCUCCUACGGGAGUCAUCAGUGUGGAUUAUUGGACAAUGGGCGAAAGCCUGAUGCAGCCAUGCCGCGUGUGUGAAGAAGGUCUUCGGAUUGUAAAGCACUUUCAGUUAGGAGGCGUUACCAGCAUAAUAAGCACCGGCUAACUUCGUGCCAGCCGCCGCGGUAAUUC